AUAGUCGUAAGAAACAGAAGAACAAACACAAAAUUGGAUCAAACUUACUCGCAACUAAGUUUUGAGAAGAGAAACUUGGAAACUGGAGAAGAGCCAGAUUGUAUUGUUCUGUGGGAACUCACCCACACAAAGAAUGGAACAUGGUCUAACACAGAGUCCCAGGAUGUUUACGAUCCAAAGAACUAGCUCGAC